CCCUGUCCUGUGUGUUCAGUGUCUGUGGUGUUUGUGCUGGUCUGGGGUUUCCAGCUGAUGGUUCUGUUGGGUCUGUUAGGAGGUUUUCACAUCUACAUGAGACACACGUCAGGAAAGAAAGAGGAAGAUCAGAAAGUGAGAAUGAGAAGAUUUAGAGAGCGACAUGAACACACAGCAGAAGAUUCAUGAGAGCAGCAGCAGAUCUUCACAUCUGUGAGAAAUGACUUCAGAAUCUCAGCGAUUCUCACAUCAGUCCAGCUUUCACCAGUCAACAGCAGAUCUUUUAGCAUAAAACCAAGAG